GAACGCUAGCUACAGGCUUAACACAUGCAAGUCGAGGGGCAUCAGGAAGAGAGCUUGCUUUCUUUGCUGGCGACCGGCGCACGGGUGAGUAACACGUAUCCAACCUGCCCUUUACUCGGGGAUAGCCUUUCGAAAGAAAGAUUAAUACCCGAUAGCAUAAUGAUUCCGCAUGGUUUCAUUAUUAAAGGAUUCCGGUAAAGGAUGGGGAUGCGUUCCAUUAGGUUGUUGGUGAGGUAACGGCCCACCAAGCCUUCGAUGGAUAGGGGUUCUGAGAGGAAGGUCCCCCACAUUGGAACUGAGACACGGUCCAAACUCCUACGGGAGGCAGCAGUGAGGAAUAUUGGUCAAUGGGCGCUAGCCUGAACCAGCCAAGUAGCGUGAAGGAUGAAGGCUCUAUGGGUCGUAAACUUCUUUUAUAUAAGAAUAAAGUGCAGUAUGUAUACUGUUUUGUAUGUAUUAUAUGAAUAAGGAUCGGCUAACUCCGUGCCAGCAGCCGCGGUAAUACGGAGGAUCCGAGCGUUAUCCGGAUUUAUUGGGUUUAAAGGGAGCGUAGGUGGACUGGUAAGUCAGUUGUGAAAGUUUGCGGCUCAACCGUAAAAUUGCAGUUGAUACUGUCAGUCUUGAGUACAGUAGAGGUGGGCGGAAUUCGUGGUGUAGCGGUGAAAUGCUUAGAUAUCACGAAGAACUCCGAUUGCGAAGGCAGCUCACUGGACUGCAACUGACACUGAUGCUCGAAAGUGUGGGUAUCAAACAGGAUUAGAUACCCUGGUAGUCCACACAGUAAACGAUGAAUACUCGCUGUUUGCGAUAUACAGUAAGCGGCCAAGCGAAAGCAUUAAGUAUUCCACCUGGGGAGUACGCCGGCAACGGUGAAACUCAAAGGAAUUGACGGGGGCCCGCACAAGCGGAGGAACAUGUGGUUUAAUUCGAUGAUACGCGAGGAACCUUACCCGGGCUUAAAUUGCAGUGGAAUGAUGUGGAAACAUGUCAGUGAGCAAUCACCGCUGUGAAGGUGCUGCAUGGUUGUCGUCAGCUCGUGCCGUGAGGUGUCGGCUUAAGUGCCAUAACGAGCGCAACCCUUAUCUUUAGUUACUAACAGGUUAUGCUGAGGACUCUAGAGAGACUGCCGUCGUAAGAUGUGAGGAAGGUGGGGAUGACGUCAAAUCAGCACGGCCCUUACGUCCGGGGCUACACACGUGUUACAAUGGGGGGUACAGAAGGCAGCUAGCGGGUGACCGUAUGCUAAUCCCAAAAUCCUCUCUCAGUUCGGAUCGAAGUCUGCAACCCGACUUCGUGAAGCUGGAUUCGCUAGUAAUCGCGCAUCAGCCACGGCGCGGUGAAUACGUUCCCGGGCCUUGUACACACCGCCCGUCAAGCCAUGGGAGCCGGGGGUACCUGAAGUACGUAACCGCAAGGAUCGUCCUAGGGUAAAACUGGUGACUGGGGCUAAG
rnacentral:rRNA from 1 species